GCCUCUCUUAGAAACAGCUUCAUUGAGUUGAAAAAUUUACCGUGCAUAUCUGGCUUCUCAUAUUGCAAAACCAAUCUGACUUUCUCAAGCCCCAGUUCAAGCUUCGAAACAUAACUGCUUAGAACAUCAGAGUCCAUCCCUGCUGCCUUCUUGACAUUGCUGAGAUCUCUGCUCAGUCCAGACACAACCUGCAAUCCUUGCUUCCUGAAAUCAUCAUCCCUAAACUUAGAGUGUGUACUUUCCUGAUGAUUCUUAUUUGUAGAAUCAGUUCCUGCACCUUCAGAUCUAAUGAUUUCCUGAACCACAAAGUGGAGCAAUGUUGUCUUCCCAUCAGUUCCCUUUAUAUCUACAAGUUUUAGGAGUGUAUCAAGUUUAAAUGCUUUAGCAUCACCACGGUUGGUGCCAACAUUCAUCCGGUUCCCUGUUCUGAGAACAGCUUCAAGGAGUUUUAGAAAAAGCCGGCUAUUUUUCAGUUCCUCACUUGCUUCCUCUAGGGUUUGAAAAGAUUUCCUCAAAUAUUUAACUUCUGUAUCAAAAUUGGCUCUAUAUAGCAUGGCUUCAACUCUUUUGAAAGCAAAUGGAAUAUCAAGUACUGCCUUGAGAAAUCGUUCUGCAGACCCUAAUUUGGAGCCGUCACCACUGUAUUCUCGAAGUUUUAUUUCUUCCUCUUUGGUUGGAGCCAUCUUUACCAAAGUUUCCAAAAGCUCAGCACCCAAG
rnacentral:misc_RNA from 1 species